rnacentral:rRNA from 1 species
GAUGAACGCUAGCGAUAGGCUUAACACAUGCAAGUCGAACGAAGAUGUUUCACCGUAGCUUGCUACACCGAGACAUUUUAGUGGCGGACGGGUGAGUAACACGUGAGCAAUCUGCCUUUCAGAGGGGGAUACCAGUUGGAAACGACUGUUAAUACCGCAUAACAUAUCGAGAUCGCAUGAUAUUGAUAUCAAAGAUUUAUCGCUGAAAGAUGAGCUCGCGUCUGAUUAGAUAGUUGGUGAGGUAACGGCUCACCAAGUCGACGAUCGUUAGCCGGACUGAGAGGUUGAACGGCCACAUUGGGACUGAGACACGGCCCAGACUCCUACGGGAGGCAGCAGUGAGGAAUAUUGGGCAAUGGGCGCAAGCCUGACCCAGCAAUGCCGCGUGAAGGAAGACGGUUUUCGGAUUGUAAACUUCUUUUAAGAGGGACGAUAAUGACGGUACCUCUUGAAUAAGCCACGGCUAACUACGUGCCAGCACG